rnacentral:tRNA from 1 species
CCCCGCUUGCUGGAAUCGGUAGACAGAUCCGACUUAAAAUCGGAGGCCUUCGGGCGUGGGAGUUCGAUUCUCCCAGCGGGGACCA